rnacentral:rRNA from 1 species
UACAGAGGUCUCAAGCGUUGUUCGGAUUCACUGGGCGUAAAGGGUGCGUAGGCGGGUCUUUAAGUCAGGGGUGAAAUCCUGGAGCUCAACUCCAGAACUGCCUUUGAUACUGAGGAUCUUGAGUUCGGGAGAGGUGAGUGGAACUGCGAGUGUAGAGGUGAAAUUCGUAGAUAUUCGCAAGAACACCAGUGGCGAAGGCGGCUUACUGGUCCGGUUCUGACGCUGAGGCGCGAAAGCGUGGGGAGCAAACAGG